rnacentral:rRNA from 1 species
GACGAACGCUGGCGGCGUGCUUAACACAUGCAAGUCGAACGGAAAGGCCUGUCCUUCCUUGUGUUGGACGGGUGCUCGAGUGGCGAACGGGUGAGUAACACGUGAGUGAUCUGCCCCCAACUUGGGUAUAAGCCUGGGAAACUGGGUCUAAUUCCCGAUAGGACUGCAGGGUGGUGCCUGUGGUGGAAAACGAUUUUCUAGUGGUUGGGGAUGAGCUCGCGGCCUAUCAGCUUGUUGGUGGGGUAAUGGCCUACCAAGGCGGCAACGGGUAGCCGGCCUGGGAGGGUGGACGGCCACAUUGGGACUGAGAUACGGCCCAGACUCCUACGGGAGGCAGCAGUGGGGAAUAUUACACAAUGGGCGGAAGCCUGAUGCAGCGACGCCGCGUGGGGGAUGACGGCCUUCGGGUUGUAAACUCCUUUCGACCGCGAGGAAGCCGCCUGGUUGGAAGGGUGGUGACGGUAGUGGUAGAAGAAGCACCGGCUAACUACGUG